rnacentral:rRNA from 1 species
UACAUAGGGUGCAAGCGUUGUCCGGAAUUAUUGGGCGUAAAGAGCUCGUAGGUGGUUUGUUACGUCGGUUGUGAAAUUCAGGGGCUCAACCCCUGACUUGCAGCCGAUACGGGCAAGCUAGAGUUUGGUAGGGGAGACUGGAAUUCCUGGUGUAGCGGUGGAAUGCGCAGAUAUCAGGAGGAACACCGAUGGCGAAGGCAGGUCUCUGGGCCAAUACUGACACUGAGGAGCGAAAGCGUGGGGAGCGAACAGG